rnacentral:rRNA from 1 species
AGUGAACGCUGGCGGUAGGCCUAACACAUGCAAGUCGAACGGCAGCACAGGAGAGCUUGCUCUCUGGGUGGCGAGUGGCGGACGGGUGAGGAAUACAUCGGAAUCUACUCUGUCGUGGGGGAUAACGUAGGGAAACUUACGCUAAUACCGCAUACGACCUACGGGUGAAAGCAGGGGACCUUCGGGCCUUGCGCGAUUGAAUGAGCCGAUGUCGGAUUAGCUAGUUGGCGGGGUAAAGGCCCACCAAGGCGACGAUCCGUAGCUGGGCUGAGAGUAUCAUCAGCCACACUGGAACUGAGAAACGGUCCAGACUCCUACGGGAGGCAGCAGUGGGGAAGAUUGGACAAUGGGCGCAAGCCUGAUCCAGCCAGACCGCGUGGGUGAAGAAGGCCUUCGGGUUGUAAAGCCCUGUUGUUGGGAAAGAAAUCCAGCUGGCUAAUACCCGGUUGGGAUGACGGUACCCAAAGAAUAAGCACCGGCUAACUUCGUGCCAGCCGCCGCCGUAC